CCUACGGGUGACAGCAGUCGAGAAUCAUUCACAAUGGGGGAAACCCUGAUGGUGCGACGCCGCGUGGGGGAAUGAAGGUCUUCGGAUUGUAAACCCCUGUCAUGUGGGAGCAAAUUAAAAAGAUCGUACCACACGAGGAAGAGACGGCUAACUCUGUGCCAGCAGCCGCGGUAAUACAGAGGUCUCAAGCGUUGUUCGGAAUCACUGGGCGUAAAGCGUGCGUAGGCUGUUUCGUAAGUCGUGUGUGAAAGGCGCGGGCUCAACCCGCGGACGGCACAUGAUACUGCGAGACUAGAGUAAUGGAGGGGGAACCGGAAUUCUCGGUGUAGCAGUGAAAUGCGUAGAUAUCGAGAGGAACACUCGUGGCGAAGGCGGGUUCCUGGACAUUAACUGACGCUGAGGCACGAAGGCCAGGGGAGCGAAAGGGAUUAGAUACCCCGGUAGUC
rnacentral:rRNA from 1 species